CGGCACAUUCCAUCUGUUCUGCUCAUCUUUGUCAUAAUCAUCAUUGUUGUAGUGUGGGUAUCACAACUGAACUGCUGCAAGAAGGUGAAUGAAGUGGGCCGAUCCCAUUCCUGCAAUUCACACUGAAAAGAUUUGUCUUCUGCUUCCUUUCGACAGAUAUGCUGUGCAUUGCAGUGUAUGGUCUCUAAGACAGAUGGUGGAAACCUUAAUGUAGACAUGUGGACAGGACAAAACUGUGGGUCAUCCUGUAGGGAACCAAACACAAAACUUGUUGUGAGUCAUGGAGAUAAGGUGGCUACACAAUAUGAGGACUUUUCACUGCAGAGCCUCUGAACAAGGAAGCCUUUAGUUCGAGUGAGGAGACCGCAUUAGAUCCCAAUGACUUGCCAAUUAUCUCAGCAGGACCCAUGUCUMUAGCCUCUCUCAGGCACUGAUCCCACCAUGCCAUGGGCUUGGGCCAGGGUCCCGUGUGGCCCAGGAGUGGCGAGUGUGGCA
rnacentral:lncRNA from 1 species